AGAGUUUGAUCAUGGCUCAGAACGAACGCUGGCGGCAUGCCUAACACAUGCAAGUCGAACGAGACCUUCGGGUCUAGUGGCGCACGGGUGCGUAACGCGUGGGAAUCUGCCCUUGGGUUCGGAAUAACAGUUAGAAAUGACUGCUAAUACCGGAUAAUGUCUUCGGACCAAAGAUUUAUCGCCCAGGGAUGAGCCCGCGUAGGAUUAGCUAGUUGGUGAGGUAAAGGCUCACCAAGGCGACGAUCCUUAGCUGGUCUGAGAGGAUGAUCAGCCACACUGGGACUGAGACACGGCCCAGACUCCUACGGGAGGCAGCAGUGGGGAAUAUUGGACAAUGGGCGAAAGCCUGAUCCAGCAAUGCCGCGUGAGUGAUGAAGGCCCUAGGGUUGUAAAGCUCUUUUACCAGGGAUGAUAAUGACAGUACCUGGAGAAUAAGCUCCGGCUAACUCCGUG
rnacentral:rRNA from 1 species